GAAGGAAGUAGAAGAAUAUGUCCAAUGGGAGACUUUAAGCUUCCUCGAUUUGAUUGAGUAGAGUUUCUAUUGGCACAUCCAUUCUAUUCACUUGGAAUUCAAGCUGGUUCUCAUUGAUGUUUAACGUUCUAGUGUAGCAUAAUGAAGGCUUAUUAUCCAAUGUAAUAAAAGGAUUGUGUUGUCAAAGUGUUAGCAGCAACUAAGGAGAUUAAAAAUGUCGACCAAUUGGAGGACAAGCAUCGUGAAGGGAAUUUCAAGAAGCCGAAAGAAACCAGUGAAGGAAUCGAGAAGGCUGAAAAUCGAUAGUCAACAGCUGUUACUCUAAUUUGAGUUUGUUCACUCCACAGUACUCUUAGAUGCCUCUCCUAUAGACCAUUCGAUAAUUCAAAACCUUGUAGAAGGAACUGGUUUCUCAAGUUUUCUGGAGUUUUGAUUUUGACAAUGAAAGCUUAGCUGAAAUGGAAUUAAUGUUUGGCAUCUUGCAUAUAUGUUAAAAUAUUGUUUUAUCAGUGUUUGUUUACCUUGAUCAAAUGACGAUUGUUUGCACGUAAUAGAACUACAAUUCUGAGUU